CAGCUCCCCGCUGCCCUGCGCACGGCGGGCUGGCAACGGGCCCGGGGAAAGCGGAGCAGGUAAGGGCCCUGGGGCCCGCGCGUAGCGGCCAAGCCAGCAGCAGCUUGUAGGCCCAGCGCGGGUGCAGGAGGACAGCGCGGCGGAGCCCCCCGCUUUCUCCACACCCCAGCAUUCUAGAGCACAUAAAUAGUGGCGCCCUGGCGUCCGGGUGCAGGGCGGCUGAGGCUCGGGGGAGGGGCAGCAGAGCAAGUAAGAGCAGAGGGAAAGCACUCUGGAGUCCUGCGAGGGAAAAUGGUGAACGCCGCGGGGGGCGGGGCGGCUAGGGUACCCGGGGCGCAGCUGGAAAGCCCGGGGCCGGGGCGAGCACUCGGCUACAGCAGCCCUCUGUGCCCCCACCUCGGUCUGCAGGUCUGCGGACCAAGAGUCGCGGCGGCACAGCCGGCGGCGAGAAUCCGGAGCAGCAGGAGGAGACGGCAAGGAUAGGCCCAGGUCUGUGCGAGGGGCAGUGCUGGGAGGCGGGGAGGGGGCGGCGGGAGGAGGAAGGUGUGCAAAGUCAAAUUUUAGACCCCAACUCCCAAUUUCCCCAUCCCUGCUCCUCCAUUUUACUGCCUGCAGAAAUCUGGGGAUGGAUCGAUAGGGAAAAUGGUGGUUUGGGGGGGCAGGGGGGCCAAUAGGGAGAGGGGAGGGCUUACAUUGGAGGCCCCCUAGAGGACAGACAAAGCCUUUCAGAUGGGAAAAGAAAUUAAAAAAUACGUCGAUAUCCAGGACACUGAAUAGCGAAAGAUGAGCAGUUGGGGACUCUGUCCUCGGUGCUGAAAUGUUCAUGAAUUUUCUUGCCUUUUAUCUUCUAGGAGUAAUGGAAUCCAAAGAGGAACAAGUGGGAAAAAAUACCAACAUGGAAAAUGCCCCAAAGAAAAAGGAACAGAAGGAGCAAGAUGAUAAUAAAGGGGAGCCCUUGGCCCUCCCUUUGGAAGCUGGUGAAUACUUUGUGCCUAGAGGAAAUCGUAGGCGGUUCCGUGUUAGGCAGCCCAUCCUGCACUAUAGGUGGGACCUGAUGCACAGGCUUGGAGAGCCCCAGGCAAGGAUGAGAGAAGAGAAUAUGGAAAGGUUUGGGGAGGAGGUGAGACAGCUCAUGGAAAAGCUGAGGGAAAGGCAGUUGAGUCAUAGCCUGCGUGCAGUUAGCACUGACCCCCCUCACCAUGACCAUCAUGAUGAGUUUUGCCUUAUGCCCUGAAUCCUGAUGUUUUCCCUGAAGUUAAUAGGGAGACCCUUGCUUCCUAAACUAACAUGUUGUGUUGUACCGCUGUAAGCCUUCUGAUGUCAUUAAUUCUCUUGGGUCUCCAGUUACCAGCUUCUAAUUGAAUGUGUUUUUGACGCAGUCUGUAAGAUUUUUGUCAGCAGAAUUUACCUAUUGCAUGGAAAGAUGCUCAUUAUAUAUUGUGAAGUUAAUAAAGCAGUUUAAAAGCAAACA
rnacentral:lncRNA from 1 species